AGAACGAACGCUGGCGGCAGGCCUAACACAUGCAAGUCGAACGCCGUAGCAAUACGGAGUGGCAGACGGGUGAGUAACGCGUGGGAACAUACCCCUCGGUUCGGAAUAACUCAGGGAAACUUGAGCUAAUACCGGAUACGUCCGAGGUUUUAAUCGACCUUGGAGAAAGAUUUAUCGCCGGAGGAUUGGCCCGCGUCUGAUUAGCUUGUUGGUGAGGUAAUGGCUCACCAAGGCGACGAUCAGUAGCUGGUCUGAGAGGAUGAUCAGCCACAUUGGGACUGAGACACGGCCCAAACUCCUACGGGAGGCAGCAGUGGGGAAUAUUGGACAAUGGACGAAAGCCUGAUCCAGCCAUGCCGCGUGAGUGAUGAAGGCCUUAGGGUUGUAAAGCUCUUUUGCCCGGAAGAUAAUGACGGUACCGGGAGAAUAAGCCCCGGCUAACUUCGUGCCAGCAGCCGC
rnacentral:rRNA from 1 species